AUAGUGAUCCGGUGGUUCUGUAUGGAAGGGCCAUCGCUCAACGGAUAAAAGGUACUCUGGGGAUAACAGGCUGAUACCGCCCAAGAGUUCAUAUCGACGGCGGUGUUUGGCACCUCGAUGUCGGCUCAUCUCAUCCUGGGGCUGUAGCCGGUCCCAAGGGUAUGGCUGUUCGCCAUUUAAAGAGGUACGUGAGCUGGGUUUAAAACGUCGUGAGACAGUUUGGUCCCUAUCUGCCGUGGGCGUUGGAAGUUUGAAGGGGGCUGCUCCUAGUACGAGAGGACCGGAGUGGACGAACCUCUGGUGUACCGGUUGUGACGCCAGUCGCAUCGCCGGGUAGCUAUGUUCGGAAGAGAUAACCGCUGAAAGCAUCUAAGCGGGAAACUCGCCUUAAGAUGAGACUUCCCCGGGGACUUGAUCCCCUUGAAGGGUCGUUCGAGACCAGGACGUUGAUAGGUCGGGUGUGUAAGCGCAGUAAUGCGUUCAGCUAACCGAUACUAAUUGCCCGUACGGCUUGAUCCUAUAACA
rnacentral:rRNA from 1 species